AGAGUCACUUGGGCCCCAGAGGUGGAGGUUGCAGCGAGCCAGGUUCUUGCCAUUGCACUCCAGCCUGGGCGACAAGG
rnacentral:snRNA from 1 species